CCUACGGGAGGCAGCAGUAGGGAAUAUUGCUCAAUGGGGGAAACCCUGAAGCAGCAACGCCGCGUGGAGGAUGACGGCUUUCGGAUUGUUAACUCCUUUUGUUAGAGAAGAUAAUGACGGUAUCUAACGAAUAAGCACCGGCUAACUCCGUGCCAGCAGCCGCGGUAAUACGGAGGGCGCAAGCGUUACUCGGAAUUACUGGGCGUAAAGAGGGCGUAGGCGGGUUAGCAAGUCAGAUGUGAAGUCCUAUGGCUUAACCAUAGAAUUGCAUUUGAAACUGUUAUUCUUGAGUAUGGGAGAGGUAGGUGGAAUUCGUGGUGUAGGGGUAAAAUCCGUAGAGAUCAAGAAGAAUACUCAUUGCGAAGGCGACCUACUAGAACAUAACUGACGCUGAUGCGCGAAAGCGUGGGGAGCAAACAGGAUUAGAUACCCUAGUAGUC
rnacentral:rRNA from 1 species